rnacentral:snRNA from 1 species
AUACCUUUCUCGGCCUUUUGGCUAAGAUCAAGUGUAGUAUCUGUUCUUAUCAGUUUAAUAUCUGAUAUGUUGACCAGUGGUUGACACGAUAUUAACUCAAUUUAUUUAGGGAGUGAGCCAUCAAAAUAGCUUGCUAUUUGCGCUCACGAUCGUCGCCCAUGCGUUGCACUAUUGCAAGGGUUUGGCGUAUCCCAC